GCCCGGGUGGCGGAACUGGCAGACGCACGGGACUUAAAAUCCCGAGGCCGCGAGGCCGUGGGGGUUCGAUUCCCCCCCCGGGCACCA
rnacentral:tRNA from 5 species